UUACCACACCUGUGGUACCUGGGCAGCCUCCUGGACGGGGGUUCUCCUUUUAAUAGGUUCUGGCCUGCCCCUGUUAGCUGGAAACAGUUGGUUCUGACCAAUUACCACACCUGUGGUACCUGGACAACCUCACCAGGAGCAGUUUCGCCGGCCGCCAGCUGCUCCAAACAUGGGCCGGGCCUCUCCGCCAGCCAAGUGGUCAGCAGGCCCGUGAUGUCACAGCGCGGCAUGUUCCCGACCCGGCGCUGGCCCGCGCCGGCAUUCCACCGCCUGCUAAUGCCACAUGACCCCGGCGGCGAGGCCGCGGGGAUCUGGACCUGGAACACGGCGGCCCGUCUCACGCCGUGACAGCACCCGGUGUUCUCUGCCCCCGUCUACCCGGUCAGGUGACAGCGUGUGAAGAGGCCCGGUUCAGUGGGGUCACGCCUGGCCCUGUCCUGGACUGAUUGAUUUAAAAAAAAAAAAAAAAAAAAAAUCAUGCAUCAGAUGCAUCGGCCUUAUUUUAAACUUAGCAUAAACAGAAAACUUCUCCAUUCAAACCAAUGCAGCACAAAAAAGGCUGAGCUACAAGCUAGGCUAACAAGCUACAAACAGCCUUUAUGCAUUAUGUCACAUAGGGAGCUGUAACAAUAACAGUUACCAAUAAAAUGUUCUGAACACUCA
rnacentral:lncRNA from 1 species